rnacentral:rRNA from 1 species
AUUGAACGCUGGGGGCAGGCUUAACACAUGCAAGUCGAGCGGGGAAAUUGCUUCGGUAAUUGACCUAGCGGCGGACGGGUGAGUAAUACUUAGGAAUCUGCCUAUUAAUGGGGGACAACAUCUCGAAAGGGAUGCUAAUACCGCAUACGCCCUACGGGGGAAAGCAGGGGAUCACUUGUGACCUUGCGUUAAUAGAUGAGCCUAAGUCGGAUUAGCUAGUUGGUGGGGUAAAGGCCGACCAAGGCGACGAUCUGUAGCGGGUCUGAGAGGAUGACGCGCCACACUCGGACUGUGGCACGGCACUGACUCGUACGGGAGGCAGCAGUGGGUAAUAUUGGACAAGGGUGAGAACCCACAUCCAGCCAUGCCGCGUGUGUGAAGAAGGCCUUAUGGUUGUAAAGCACUUUAAGCGAGGAGGUGGCGCUUUUGGUUAAUACCCAAGAUGAGUGGACGUUACUCGCAGAAUAAGCACCGGCUAACUCUGUGCCAGCAGCCGCCGUAACAC